rnacentral:rRNA from 1 species
GACGAACGCUGGCGGCGUGCUUAACACAUGCAAGUCGAACGGAAAGGCCCUGCUUUUGUGGGGUGCUCGAGUGGCGAAAGGGUGAGUAACACGUGAGUAACCUGCCCUUGACUUUGGGAUAACUUCAGGAAACUGGGGCUAAUACCGGAUAGGAGCUCCUGCUGCAUGGUGGGGGUUGGAAAGUUUCGGCGGUUGGGGAUGGACUCGCGGCUUAUCAGCUUGUUGGUGGGGUAGUGGCUUACCAAGGCUUUGACGGGUAGCCGGCCUGAGAGGGUGACCGGCCACAUUGGGACUGAGAUACGGCCCAGACUCCUACGGGAGGCAGCAGUGGGGAAUAUUGCACAAUGGGCGGAAGCCGGAUGCAGCAACGCCGCGUGCGGGAUGACGGCCUUCGGGUUGUAAACCGCUUUCGCCUGUGACGAAGCGUGAGUGACGGUAAUGGGUAAAGAAGCACCGGCUAACUACGUG